rnacentral:rRNA from 1 species
GACGUAGGGGGCGAGCGUUGUCCGGAUUUAUUGGGCGUAAAGCGCGCGUAGGCGGCCGCGCAAGUCGGGGGUGAAAGCCUGUGGCUCGACCACAGAAUUGCCUUCGAUACUGUAGAGCUUGAGACCGGAAGAGGUAAGUGGAACUGCGAGUGUAGAGGUGAAAUUCGUAGAUAUUCGCAAGAACACCAGUGGCGAAGGCGGCUUACUGGUCCGGUUCUGACGCUGAGGCGCGAAAGCGUGGGGAGCAAACAGG